CGGAUUCCUUUCGCGUCUCUAAUCCAAUCCGCGCGAGUUUGGGGUGGUAUUUGUAGGGAGGGAUUGAGGUUAAAAUUCCUAUCCGAAAACACAGCUGCACACACAUCGUUGCGUCUGUGGUGUAUCUUCUCCUCCCAAUGGUUUCUCUCGCGAUCACUUGCUACCCGUCGUCGUCGUCGUUGACUGACUAUCAACUCCUGCUUGAUCAUUACUGUUAUUGAUGUUAUUGCUGUUUGCUCUUGUUGGUAUUGGUAGUGUUGUGUGAAGCGGCAUGCUGGAGUGUAUCAAACACACCAACUGUCCGUCCGUUUGUUCGUCCAUUCGUUUUCUUUGCUUACCUUACACAACCAUCAUCAUCGUUUCGUAUAGCCCGAUGUAAACGAGUGGUGAACAUUCAACAACAAAAAAAUGUGUAUUAAUCCACCUAGGCAACCGAGAACCACUUUAUUCAUCGCGUCGAUAAUUUAUAGCUGCGCGGGCCAACAAUGGUUUACAUCUCAAAAUAAACACGGCCGUUGUUGCUUUUGGAAAUCCAUCCCUAUUGUGUACCGCGUACCUUUCGCCCGCCCGUUAAGAGCUCCAUCGUUCGGGAUAAGCAAGGGGGAGGAGGAGAAAUGCAUACCACCUUAAAGAUGGGUUUUCGGAACAAGCUUAAAUCGUUUCCGCCGACCCGCGAAAAAUGCUCCAUUCAGAACCGACGGUCCGGGCGUGCGGAGUGUGAGCGGAGAGUGUACGUAUGCAUGAAGCGAACUCCACACCACCACCACGACGACGACGACGACGAAGAAGAAUAAAAGGAACAAAUUGUUUUCCCACGGCACACGAUUUGCCGGUCAGCACCGGGCGGGCGGACAGGCAGGCGGGCAGCAGGACCGUGGAGAGCGCGAACGUUGCGCAGCGCAACUUGAAGCAGCAAUCCAGCAAGCAAGAAGAGUGCGAGGUAGCAACGAUAAAAGCGGUGACUUCAGCAGUAUUUGCCUGCCUGGCCUGCCUGCGAAGAAAGGUGAGGUACUUUCUACUCCCUUGGAGUAGCUGGAGGAGGAGGAGGAAGCGCGGGAGUGGGAGUGAGAGCCAGUCAGUGGACCUGUCGUCUCUUAUUCUAGGUAUUGAGCCAAAUCGGAUUUGUUAGUAAAAUGAGGCAACAGUAAAUACCGUGCGUCACAGAAAAUGACCCCAUGGAAAUGCAGCAACGUCGUCGGUCGAGGAUCGCUAAUUAAGUAGGACCGUAAACCUAAUAUUAGAGAUUAGGAUGGUGACCAAAACAGGUGUGGAUGUCAAACUGAAAUAUGGAUUUCCAGAUGAUUUUGUCUAUCUUAGAAAUUUCAAAAACACAAAGCUAAUCAAAGCUAGAUUGUCAUUGCUCUCUUUACAUUUACUGACCCCUCGUUGAUUUGUAAUUACUUUUGACGAUUGAUCGUGAUGGUUCAAAGUAUCCUCUGCAGUCAAAGUUACAAAAUUCCAGAUUCCAAUAUCGUGUAAGUUUGGGAAAAAAUUAACAUUGGAAGCAUAUAUGAUUAGUAAACGGACGGUACCGGGGCAUCCUGGAACCCACCCUGGCGCCAAACGAUCAUUCUUAACGGGUGACCAGCAGCGGGUGGCUCUUUACAAGAUUUCUUCUCUGUGUCAAAUCGACAAGGAGAUCGGAUUCUUUGGCACCUACCUGCUGCUGAUUUGACGUCGUAAGGACUUUCGUCCUUGGAUUUUUUUUUGUAAAUAAAAUUGAUUAUUUUUUUGUAUUUACAAUAAAUUCAGAAGCAAAAUGUUUAUCUACUUUUGAGGUAAAUGAGAAACCCUUUCAUCUUUCUAACAAUGUUUAACGUAUUAAUGUGAUGUUUAUGUUACGUUUCCAAAAAAAAGUCCAAUUAUAUCCAUCCACAAAAAAAACUUCACAUCUUUCUGUUAAUUAGAGUUGAAGUAAUUAAUUGCUUUGUUUGUUAAUUGCCCUUACGUUCACUUUAAUACACCUUACUCGCUGUGCCGUGCUGCUCGAAACGAUGAGAAAUCAACGAGGAGAGAAAAAUAACUCAACUUGAACGGUUCGUUUAUAACGCAAAAUCGAAAUCACGGACGGACGUGGCAACCACCGACCAAUAAGUACCAUCUUGUGUCACUCCGUGUGCUGGGUCGUACCGACGGUGAUCGCUCAUUGAUAACUAAUUCCACGUGUCCGCGCAUGACCCAUCAUCGUCAUCAACAUCGUUGGGCGGAAAACCUUAUUUCCUCGCGGAGCAGAGCAGCGGCGUGCGCGCGGUCGAACGCUUUUCAAUAAAUUACGACUAUAAAAGAGCCGUAAAGCGGCGUGACAACGUUUGCUCACCCUAUCGUGCGCUGUAAAUCGGCUUGCUGCGAUCGUAAACGCGUUCUUUUACAGCCCUAAAAAAUGAGUGACAAGAUUAGGUUGGCUUGUUGUACGAAAAAAGGAAGAUCGAGAGCAAAGUGGAGCUCCGAAUCGCGAGAGUGGUACUUGGGCGCCAGGAAGAUUCCAGCUAGGGAGCCUUUUUGAAGAUCCGAAGUUGGAACAAUGGGGGUGCUCCUACAAUAUUGGAAAGAACUAAAAGACUUAGUGCCAACACGAUUCGGACAUGAUGCCGAUCAAAUUAAUACAAAACAAAAGGAUAUUUCGUCCUUGAGUUUCUUUGAAACCUGUCAGAUGUACUUGUGGAGGACCCAGAGUUGCCGUAGCAAAAAACUCCAAAACGAUCCAAUAAUUGACAUUCAGUGGUGCAGUUCAUCGGUAAACAUAGCUCACCUGACCCUGUCCAUAAUUUCGACAGUCAAGAAACCAACUUUCAUCCUCAAAAAACUCAUUACACAACGUUCAAUCGUGCAACUCUGCACACAUGACUGGACGUUUCAGUUGCAGCCUGACGGCGUGGUCGUUUUUGGUGCGUGACAUUGUUUUAAUUUAUUUCUCGAUGGCAACAAUAUGACUGUGAGUGUUUGAUCAUCUGUCCCGGCAGUCAGUGCGGGGCUGGUGGCGGGACAAACUGGGACUUUCUAGUGAAUGCUUUGAAUGACCUCGAGUCAAUCAUCCCGCGUGUUUUUGGGGGCCCAUUUUGAUUUAUUUUGCUCGCGAAAGUUUCUUGCCGUUUCGUUUGAUCGCGCACAUUUUUAAAGUUUACUCAGGCCGACUGUGUGUUCGUUGCACGUGUGUGAACUCUGACAGGAUAGACGAUGGUUCCAUCUGCCUACAAAAUUCGAAACGUAAAAAAUAAUUCUUUGCUUUUCUUUUUCCGGACCUUUUUCGUCCGUGGUGGCAGCUGCCUUUUUUCAAGCAACUUCAAAUAGAAAUCUGAAAACACGUACAAUCGCGCGCCAACGCCAGCUGAAAAACGGAAAACAUCUGGUGAUCAUUUUUUAUUCUUUUGCUGUUUUUUCCAAGUAUCGUGACGGCCCGCGUGACACUGUUGCGUAUCUUCCUCGCGCACUAAGCGCUGGAGUGAUUUUUAUCAGUUAUUGAAAUAUGAUCAUGAUUGGUGUAACGAAACGAAACGUACAGUCGGAUAUUCCAUAUGCACUCACACGCAUACAAACACACUAGCAAGCAUAGUUUCCGUAAGGCUAAAUGCUACAUCCGUUCAUAAGUUUGCUCGGGUCCUUGCUUUUUUUUUAUGCAGCUCAUCCAGUGGUGCGUCCAACCAUUGAAAUAUGCGCGGGGACCCUUUCAUUCACCACCACCACCAACACAGAGCCAAAUGGCAGCAGGAGCAUUUAAGUGUACAUAAAAACACACUCACACAAAGAGAUAGUUGGACAGAUAGCGCUUCUCCGUCGUACCAGCGCGGCCGGGACGACCGGUAUACGAAAACCUUGCAUUCCUAAUGGAACGACCGACGGAUGGCAGGCAGUCGACGGCACCCAAUACAUUCGAAAGGCCGGGGUCGGGUCUCGGGAGUAGGUAACAGAUGAACAUAAUUGUGACGACGACGAGCGAAAAAAGAAAAUGCUAUAUAGGGGAAAAGCACCUAUUCUCCUUGGGCUGGCCGGCGGUUCUCAGCGGUUAAUUUUCGAUGAGUAGUAGCUCGUUAAAAAGCUCUCUGCUUGGGUCGCGUAAACGCAAUUUUCUUAAAAGCCCAAAACAACGCACGUAAUCGUUGUCAUGUCGUUAUCGUCAUUGUCGCGACAAGAUGGGCUCCAGAACUGAUGGAUUUUAAAUGUGUCAAAAAUAGGUUUGAACCCGAGGCCUUAAUUGGUCGUGCGAACGAACGCGCACUCUAAGUUCAAUUUACCCACAAUUACAGUCGCUGAGUUUAGUUGAGGCAACGGUAGCGCAAAGCACGUGUGGUAAAUUUAUUCAACAUUUCAGACAGGUGAAGUCCAUGAGAGCGGAGUGCUGCUACGGUGCUUUUUCACCAUUAGAGAGCCUCCUUUUGAUGCAGCAACAAAUUGUCUUCAUUCUUGGAGAAAAGAAACUCUUCGACGACUAAUGCAUUGCAACAAAAGGCUCGGGAAUUGCAAGCUCCAUUGCUUCGGCAAGUUGCGCUUCAAGUGGGUGAGAGAUUGGUGUGGAGCUUCAAAUCACGAGUUUGGCUCUCAAGAUUUACUUCUAUUGUUUCCUCAAGCGCGGCGGUGCUGCCAGUAUCAGUUGUCCGGGUCUCCUAAUUUGAUUGGUUUACGGAUCCACAUGUAUCUGGAUAAUACUAAGCAGAGCUACGGAGUUGACCCCGACAGCAACAACAACUCGCAUAAAAGUUUUUGAAAAUUAGUUGGCUGUAACUCACUCACUCACAUUCACUUUUUCUAUGAGCAUAACAAUUUGCAAUAUCCAAAACAAACAAAUGAUAAUCCAAAAAACUGUAUCAGCAUUUUAGAUAAUAAGUUUUCUUAACAAAACCUGAAAAAUUACAUCCGAGAAACGUACUUUUACUAAAACGGUAAUGAAAUAAAGACUCUCCUAUUGAAUAACGCCAUAAAUCUCCAGGUUUAUGGCAGUUUAUCAGGAUUCACAGAUAGUGCGGAGAAUUAUUCGAAUGUACCUAUUUAUAACUGCGUUUAAAUAUAGUCCAGACUGGAUUGUCCGAAGUCAUCGGAAAAAACACUUUGGAUAAUCGAAUCAAACUGCUCAACUGCUAGGGAAUGACAGGAAAAGAAGGUAUUUUUAAAACUGAAUUGCAAAUAUUUUUUAAAACGAUUUGAUCAUCCUAAGUUCCUUUGAAACUGUUUCAAGGUACCUCAACAUAUCCGAAUAAACCCCCCAAAUAAAGUAAAAACUAAAAAUAAAUUCAAGCUGUUAAAACUUGAAAGAUUUAAAACAAAAAUCUAUUCCGAAUAUCUCAAGCAUAUUGUGAUGCAUCACAGGUGUGUAGUGUGCAGACACUGUUGGUGCAGGUACCUUACCCGGUCGCAUGCAGACGACGCGGACCGAGAAGAGCGCGAGAAUUUUUAACCAAAACAGUUAAAUGAACGGACGUAAAACGAUUCUCGAAGGAGAGGUCCCAAAAGGAAAGAAGGAGGAAAAAUCGUGCAGUUUUUCAAGUUUUGCAGCCUGUUUUCGUUGUGUUCCCAUGAUUGAGAAUAUUUUUUUUCUCGCUCUCGUGUGUUGUUUUAUUUGUUUGUCCUGGGCUUUCGAGCGUCCCUCAACCCACCAGCACCCCCUUCUCCCCCGUUAAAAUUGGGCGCAGGGAGGAAGACAGAUGAACUUCGGGACCGCUGCGGCACAUAUGGAGCGCUCUUCCCGCGGGCUCGAAACUGGUUUAUUUUUACAAUCGCGAGCGAGCGCGAGGACCUAAAAUCAUUUACAGUUUAAUAUCAGAUGGAAGUUGAUGCGACACUUUGCUGCAGGCUCUCCAAACAAACCCUCAUGCAAGUACUGCGCGGGGAAAGCGCCAAUUGGUUCUUGCUUGUAUUUUGGAGCCGGCCGGCCGGCAUUCUCUGGCCGGAGAAGAGCAAGCGAACGAUACCGCAACUUUCUUUUGCUAUAGCGAGGCAAUGCAUGCAAUGAUAUUUAAUUAUGCUCGGGUGUCUCCAAUGCAAAUUAGGCCCGGUUUUUUUUUUUUUGAGUUAUCAUUACUGAGCUGAUCAAGUUUUACCAAUCAAUAAGGCUUUCAUCAUAAUUCUGUGUUUCCUGUUGUGCACACGACUUCUUUUUAUGGUUUUGAUAAGAGUGCU